rnacentral:rRNA from 1 species
UACGUAGGGUGCGAGCGUUGUCCGGAAUUAUUGGGCGUAAAGAGCUCGUAGGCGGCUUGUCGCGUCGGAUGUGAAAGCCCGGGGCUUAACUCCGGGUCUGCAUUCGAUACGGGCAGGCUAGAGUUCGGUAGGGGAGAUCGGAAUUCCUGGUGUAGCGGUGAAAUGCGCAGAUAUCAGGAGGAACACCGGUGGCGAAGGCGGAUCUCUGGGCCGAUACUGAUGCUGAGGCGCGAAAGCGUGGGGAGCAAACAGG